CCCACCUUUCACUACUACCACCAUUGCUAAAGCCUCUGAUGGGGGUGUCUCCUCCACCAGUGAGGAAGGGGGGCCGAUAGUGGUGAAGGUUUAGAAGAAAUUAUAGCUAGAAGGCAGAAAGAGAGAAAGAGAGAGAGGGAUAGGGUGAUGCAACAUUGGUGGGAUGAAUGGGGUUGAAAAUAAGAGAUGGGGUAGGGCAGUUUGUAAGAUGGUAGUGAGCUUUGGAAGCAAUGAGAAGUGGAACUAAGCAACUAUGGAGUGGGCUUUACCAACCAG
rnacentral:lncRNA from 1 species